UAUGGCCCAACAGUUUGGUGUUCAGACAGGCAGCUCUUAUGGGAUGACUGAGGGGCCUUUACCUGCAUUCACUGGACAGAGCUCUUCAAUUGGGAGGAGACUGAGUUUUACCGACUCUCCCAUGGCAUUUGAUCUUGGAUACUCACACAUUCCUGUGCCGGAUGUACAGACUUUAGAGCCACAGGAUGCGGGUGUGAUACAAGAGGAGGUUCACCAACGUAGAUCAAAACGAGAGCGCCGGCAAACUCAGUGUGGCACGGGGGGG